GACGAACGCUGGCGGCGUGCCUAAUACAUGCAAGUAGAACGCUGAAGGAAGGAGCUUGCUCUUUCCGGAUGAGUUGCGAACGGGUGAGUAACGCGUAGGUAACCUGCCUGGUAGCGGGGGAUAACUAUUGGAAACGAUAGCUAAUACCGCAUAACAGUAGAUAUCGCAUGAUAUGUGCUUGAAAGAUGCAAUUGCAUCACUACCAGAUGGACCUGCGUUGUAUUAGCUAGUUGGUGAGGUAACGGCUCACCAAGGCAACGAUACAUAGCCGACCUGAGAGGGUGAUCGGCCACACUGGGACUGAGACACGGCCCAGACUCCUACGGGAGGCAGCAGUAGGGAAUCUUCGGCAAUGGACGGAAGUCUGACCGAGCAACGCCGCGUGAGUGAAGAAGGUUUUCGGAUCGUAAAGCUCUGUUGUAAGAGAAGAACGAGUGUGAGAGUGGAAAGUUCACACUG
rnacentral:rRNA from 1 species